rnacentral:rRNA from 1 species
GACGAACGCUGGCGGCGUGCUUAACACAUGCAAGUCGAACGGAAAGGCCCUGCUUUUGUGGGGUGCUCGAGUGGCGAACGGGUGAGUAACACGUGAGUAACCUGCCCUUGACUUUGGGAUAACCUCAGGAAACUGGGGCUAAUACCGGAUAGGAGCUCCUGCUGCAUGGUGGGGGUUGGAAAGUUUCGGCGGUUGGGGAUGGACUCGCGGCUUAUCAGCUUGUUGGUGGGGUAGUGGCUUACCAAGGCUUUGACGGGUAGCCGGCCUGAGAGGGUGACCGGCCACAUUGGGACUGAGAUACGGCCCAGACUCCUACGGGAGGCAGCAGAGGGGAAUAUUGCACAAUGGGCGGAAGCCUGAUGCAGCAACGCCGCGUGCGGGAUGACGGCCUUCGGGUUGUAAACCGCUUUCGCCUGUGACGAAGCGUGAGUGACGGUAAUGGGUAAAGAAGCACCGGCUAACUACGUG